UUGUUCUAUCAUCGUCAGCUCUUUCUGAAUAUCACUUUUGAAGCCCUUUUGAUUUUGAUAUGCCGUGUUUGUUUGUUUUUUUGGCUCGAGUUUUCUUGUGGCUGUUAUUUCUCAUCUCUCCUCCGACAUGCAUGACGUGCUUGAAUGGAGUGUUUAGAUUGGAGUAUAUGAUGAAGAAAAUACAGGAAUACUGGAGUCUCUUACGUUCUCUAUUAUUGGAGUGGCACUGAUCCUUCUCAUAACAUUAUCAGGACGGGCCUCAUCGCCAAACUGCCGCAUUUCCUCCAACACAUGCCUGAGCAAUGUCUUUCCUCCGCCAGCACAUAUUGCUAAGAACCAUUCAUGCGCAGCGCCCCUCCACCCACCAAAUGCUCCCACCUCCUGCCUGCCAAACACAGCCAAGAGGAAAUGUCUGACAGACAUCAAAUCCACAGGCAUUCCAAGUCUCUCAAUGAAAAUACCCUAGAGGGAAGACAACUGAGCUUGGUCAUUCAAAAGUGCUGGGUUGGUAUUGGAGCUGGACUCGCUGCACUGCCUCCUGCCUUUAUGCACAUAGAUCAUUUGCUGUGGACCUCUCGGCCCUUUGUCUGACAGUGCCUCUAAUCCCCUUGGCUACAUACUGCAGCUCACUGCAGCUCCAGUGCCGGCCCUAUCACUCUGCCCCAGCCCCAACCCCCUUUGCCAGGUAUCCACAUUGAUUUCCAGCUGGAAAUAACCGCUGCCUACACCCGGACCCAGCUCCCGUCAACCCAACUGUAAUGUGGAGUGGAACAGGGAAACCCAAGAGCAGACUCAGUCGAGGGGACUGGGGUGAAGUAAUCAAGACAUUUAUUGAAACACAGGGGGAAGAUGGAGUGCAGGCCAGGGGAAGCUCGGGCGGGUUGCAGGAAACCUGGUGCGGAGGCUGAGGCUGGAGUGAGUGGGGUUGGGACAGGGUAAGCAGGUCCGGAGGGGAAUCCAAGGGAGUAGUAGAGGGGAAUCCAGGGCAGAGUAGCAGGAUGAGGAGACGUGGGACUGGAGACAGGGACCAGAGUCAGAGCAGGCAGAACUGUAGCAGAGAGGAAAACAGUGUCAGGCAAGGAAAACAGGCACAACAGAAUCUAAUAGUAACAAAUGGCUAGAUGUGUAGACUGACUGAGCAGAGAUUACGAUCUGGCAGUGUGGAAAUGGCAGGACUGAGUAUUUGUAGAGGUCUUGAUUAUGGGCAGGUUGUAGCUGGUGGGGACCUGCUCUGACUGAGCACACCUGUCUCCACCCACACAAUAAGAGAGAGGGAGAGAACACUGGGGGAGUGGCAGCAGGUCAAGGAGACACAGGAUGAGCAGUUGAGGGCAUGACAGGAGCAGAUGUAACAGUAACCCCCUUCUACUGGCACCACUUGGCUUAUCUGAGUGUGAGGUAUAGAAAUCACGUAAGAGGGAGGGGUCCAGAACAUGACGGUGGAGCACCCAGCAGUGCUCCUUCGGUCCGUAUCCUUCCCAGUCCAACAGGUACUGCCAGCCGCGACCCCGACGGCGCACAUCCAAAAUCCGCCGAAUUGUAUAGGCAGGAUGGUCAUCAAUGAGCUGAGGGGGUGGAGGAGCUGCUGCAGGCUGAGACAGGGGACUGGAGCAGACAGGUUUAAUCAGGGAUACAUGAAAGGUAGGAUGGAUCCUGAGAGAGGCUGGGAGUUUCAGGUGCACAGCAGAGGGGUUAAUGACACUUUCAAAGGGACCAAUGAAAUCGGAGGGAAGGUUUCUUCGAUGCCACCUUCAAUGGCAGAUCCUUUAAUGAGAGCCAUACCUUUUGACCUGGGGUGUAGACUGGGGCUGAGACCCGGCAACGGUUGGCUGGGGACUGGGUCCUGCCGGAGGCGCAAAGGGCAGCCCGAGCCUUCCUCCAGGUAUGAUGACAACGGCGCAGAUGGUCCUGGACAGAGGGAACCGCAACCUAUUUGGCAGGGAACAAGAAGGGUAUGUAACCCAGAGCACACUCGAAGGGUGACAUACCCGACGAGGCAUUGGUGAGGGUGUUGUGGGCAUAUUCAACCCAGGGUAGCUGAGCGCUCCAGGAGGAAGGGUUAGCAGAUGUCACGCAGCGUAGGGCAGUCUCCAUCUCUUGGUCGGCCCAUUUGGUCUGGCCGUUGGUCUGGGGGUGAUAUCCAGAAGAAAGACUGACAUUGAUACCAAAAGCUGAACAGAAGGAUCUCCUUACCUGGGGUCCCCUGUCGGAAACGAUGUCAGUGGGAAUGCCAUGCCGACACAUGGCAUACUAGCAGGUCCGCAGUCUCCCUGGAGGACGGGAGCUUGGAGAGGGGAAUGAAGUGAGACACUUUGGAAAACCUGUCAAUAGUGGUGAGGAUUACGAAGUUACCGUUAGAUGGGGAAGGCCUGUGACGAAGUCCAGAGCUAUGUGUGGCCAGGGCGACUGGUUAUGGGAAGAGGGCACAGCAGUCCGGGAAGUGGGUUUGGUAGAAGAUUGUUCCGAGAACAAACCAAGCAGGCUGAGACAAACUUCAGGACAUCCCUGCGCUGAUGCAGGAAGGUGAGGGUCCGGUUCAUACCAGUGUGACAGGUGAGGUGAUUAGAAUGGCCCCACAGAAGAACCUCAGAGACAACACAAUCUGGAACAAACAGAGCAUUUCUAGGACCGUUACACGGGUCAGGCUGGUUCUGCUGAGCCUGGAGGAUACAGGAAUUGAUCUCCCAGGCGAUGGCAGCAAUGAUGCAGGUGGAUGGCACAAUGGUUUCUGGCUUGGUUCCCGUGUUGUCGGUGGUGAACUGGCGGGAGAGGGCAUCAGGCUUGAGAUUCUUAGAACCGGGGCGAUAAGUGAGUGUUAAAUUGAAUCUACCGAAGAACAAGACCCACCUGGCUCGCUGGGAGUUCAGAUGUUUGGUGGUCUGGAUUUAGGACAGGUUUUUAUGGUCAGUCCACAUGAUGAAUGGGGGAGGGGGGGCAGAGCCCUCCAGCCAGUGGCGCCAUUCCUCAAGAGCCAGCUUAACUGCCAGGAGUUCCCGGUUUCCGAUGUCAAAAUUCCUCUCUGCAGGUGAGCGCUUAUGGGAAAAGAAUGUACAUGGGUGGACCUUCUGAUCAGAGGGGGAACGUUGAGACAGAACAGCACCUACCCCGGUGUCAGAGGCAUCCACCUCCACGGUGAACUGGAAUCCUGGGUUGGGCUGAUUAAGGACCGGAGCGGAGGUGAAGCUUGACACUUGAGUUCCAGGAAUGCUGCCUCUGCCACAGGAGUCCAGUGGAACAGAGGUGGAGGUGACAGUGGUGAGAGGUUUAGCCAGACGGUUGUAGUUGUGGAUAAAACAUCUGUAAAAAUGUGCAAACCCCAGGAAACGCUGUAGCUGCUUCAGGUUGGAGGGCGCAGGCCACUCUGUGACUGCCAUGACCUUGGCGGGGUCCAUAUGUAACUGUCCCUGUGCAAUAAUAUAACCCAGGAAAGACAGUGGCAGCAUGGAACUCACACUUUUCAGCUUAAAAAAAGCCUUUUCUCCAACAGCAGUUGAAGAACUUGAUGAACGUGUUGCUGAUGAACCUCAGGGUCCUUGGAAAAAAAUCCAAAUAGACAAAAAAAAGUGUCCAAUCACAUCCCUCAGCACAUCAUUGACUAGGUUCUGGAAAACAGCAGGGGUGUUAGUAAGACCAAAAGGCAUGACCAAAUACUCAGUGGUGUGUUGAACACAGUCUUCCACGCGUCCCCCUCUCUUAUGCGGACAAGGUGGUAGGCAUUCUGGAGGUUGAGUUUGGUAAACACCGUGGCACCAUUGAGGGGGGCAAAAGCAGAGCUGAUGAGUGGCACGGGGUACUGUUCUUUACUGUGAUAUUAUUCAGCGCACAGAAGUCUAUGCACGGCCUUAGUGACCCAUCAUUUUUCUUCACAAAGAAAAACCCAGCACCCACCGAGGAGGAAGAUGGCUUGAUAAGUCCUGCAGCCAGAGUAUCCUGGAUGUACCUCUCCAUAGCCUCUUGCGCGGGGAUAGAGAGGUUUAAUAACCGACUACUGGGAAAAGGAGCUCCAGGCUGGAGGUCAAAGGCGCAGUCGUACGGCUGAUGAGGUGGCAGCGAUGGGGUGCGGUGCUUGCUGAACACAGGAGCUAGAUCGUGAUACUCGGGAGGAACUGAUGACAGGUCCGGAGAUUCUGGAAUGAACUGGGGAACAAACAAGGCAGGGGCAGAGUAACGAAAUGAAAUCCAAGUGGUUACCUUUCCAGCAGUCCAGUCAAUCUGUGGGUUGUGUAGCUUUAACCCGGUCUUGAUUAUGGAACAGGUUACAGCUGGUGGGGGAUCUGCUCUCAUUCAGCACACCUGUCUCCGCCCACACAAUCACACACAGAGAGAGAGGGAGAGGGAGAGAGCACUGGGGGAGUGGCAGCAGAUCAAGGAGACACAGGAUGAGCAGUAGAGGGCGUGGCAGAAGCAGAUGUAACACCAACAGUGGGUGAGCAGGAAAAAUGUACCCAUUAGGAUGUGGUUCUGUUAUCUGUGUAUGUGUAUGUAUGUGUGGGUGAAAGAGAGAGAAAGAGAGAGAGGGUUAAACUAAAGAGAAUCAGGGUCUGCACAUUCCAUUGUACUCUUGUCUCUGUACAGCCCUCUUUGGUCACUUAGGUUCAACUGAAAAAGUGUAUGGAUCUGCUAAAGAACAUGGAAUCCUCCUGUUUUCUAGGUGAGCAAGAGAUGACAUCUCCCAGAGGGAGAUCUCCUCUCUUAGCCCAUGAACACCACCCCUAAAAAAUGUGAUCUGAUUCACAGUUAACUAGUAUACGCAAACAGUAUAACCUGGUACAGAAACACAUGAACUCUGUAUAGGCUAAUCUACAGUGACAUGUUAAUGCUACAGCAGCUCCCUUCCCUCUCAGUGAGAGAGGGUUUCCCCAGCAUGGGGCGGCAGGGUGCGGUACAAUGCCUGAUUUACUGCCACCCUAAUGUGGAGCAGAGCUCAAAGAGAGACUCAAGGGGGGCCUGGGAUGCACCCUAACCCCGUUCCCCUUUCCUCUUCUUCUCCUCACUCUCUCUCUUCAUCUGAGAGAACACUGACACUGGUCAGCAGUGGCAGAGUUCCCCUACUGUAAUGCAUUAGGCUGGUGUCAGGUGCCUAGAGCCAACACAUGGCUAUUCUAGAUCAGCUUGUUUGUUUACUUUGGGUAGUUGAUCAAUGAAAUAAGGACGUUGGGCCUCUGAACGCUGACAGACGGCAAGGUCAAAGAAAUGUGUUUGUUUGUGUUCGAAAUACAACAAUGAAUUAUUGAAGUACACACGCAGGAUCUUCAUUUGAGCCAGUUUGCUACAGCAGGAAAAUAAUCCUGCAGUAACAGGAAAUGUUAAUUAUUAUGUGGAUUAUAAUUAAUCAACAUUUUUUGUAGGAGAUGAUACAUUUUAUGUUAGGGCAAAUCACGACUGACAUUUUAAAGUGGAAAUUGCUAACUUUAGAGGCCUUUUUAAACCUUGAAUAAACUACAAGUUCUCAUUUCCUGCUGUGCUCAGCAACAAAAGAGUGAUCAAAUUAAGAUCCUACAUCUGUAUCCAUGUUUUAAUGUAAACCUUGUCCUUUUUUCUAAUAGCAUCCACGUAAUGUACACAGAGAGAUUCGAUAGAGGCUUUGAUAUAGCCUAUGCUGUAAACAUUUAAACCGCCAAUUAAAACCAU